rnacentral:lncRNA from 1 species
AUGGAGUCAAAUUGUCCUAUUUAUACUCACAAUGAACAAAAGAAUCAUGGCACCACUUUAAUUGAAAAUAAUAAAAAUGUUAAAAUACUAAAUUCACAUUAACAUGUCAAACGCAAAGAAAUUUAAGAACAUCUAAAAAUUGCAAGUUGAAUAUGUUCAAAAAUAACAUAAUUAGUUAUUAAAGAAAAGAAACAAUCAUAAUAAAGAGAGUCAAAAUUCAUCAGGGACUGAAUUGCAAAGAUUGAAAACUUUUAGGGACAGAAGUUAUAUUUUUCCAAAGUUUAAGGGUCAAAAUUAAAUGAAAGAUAAAAUUCAAGGACCAAAGUGCAAUUAAAUUAAGUACCUAAGUGAAAGGAAUUUAAAAUAUUCUGGGCCGAAGUGAACUACUCCAGAGAUCAGGGGCUAAAGUGCAAAAUUUGAUUUCUGAUUGGGGAGAAAAAGGCCAUUGGGCCAUUAUUUAUUUCUUUGGGCCGAAAACUGCCUAAGCCCAACCGAAAAUCCAUAGAAACGAGCAGGCCAGCCCGUCAUUUUAUCACUCAAACCCGACCCAGAAAUGCAUGGGCUCCAGCCUCCUAGCCCAUCCGAAACCCAAAAGAAAAAUAAACCAAAGCCCAUUUCCAAAACCCAACCAAAACUAACUCCUGGCCCAACCGAAGAAAAAA